GCCUGUCUCAGUUCGGAUUGGAGUCUGCAACUCGACUCCAUGAAGCUGGAUUCGCUAGUAAUCGCGCAUCAGCCAUGGCGCGGUGAAUACGUUCCCGGGCCUUGUACACACCGCCCGUCAAGCCAUGGAAGCCGGGAGUGCCUGAAGUGUGCAACCGCAAGGAGCGCCCUAAGGUAAAACUGGUGACUGGGGCUAAGUCGUAACAAGGUAGC
rnacentral:rRNA from 1 species